rnacentral:misc_RNA from 1 species
CCGAACUGUCUACAUGAGUUGUUGCUGGCCCUCGAAAGGGGGCACGUGCACGCUCUGUUUACACAUCCACUCACACCUGUGCACCCUCUGUAGUUCUAUGGCCUUGGGGACCCUGUCCCCUUGCUGUGGUCCUACGUCUUUACACACACACCAUAACAAAGUCUCAUGGAAUGUAUGCCGCGUUUAACGCAAUACAAUA